rnacentral:rRNA from 1 species
UAGAAGAACCAACAGGGAUUGCCUUAGUAACGGCGAGUGAACAGGUAAGAGCUCAGAUUUGAAAGCGCACUUGUGCCGUUGUAUUCUGAAGUUAGGAUUCUCGAAAACGACACCUAAGUUUUCUGGAAAGGAAUGCCACAGAGGGUGAUAGCCCCGUACGGUGUUGACUCGAUACAGAGUCCUAACAUGGAGUCGAGUUGUUUGGGAAUGCAGCUCAAAUGGGUGGUAUGCUCCAUCUAAGGCUAAAUAUUUGCGAGAGACCGAUAGCGAACAAGUACUGUGAAGGAAAGAUGAAAAGAACUUUGAAAAGAGAGUGAAAUAGUACGUGAAAUUGUUGAAAUGGAAGGGUAGGCCGCUAACCAUGUAGGACCGUGUUUGGGGGGAAGAUAAAUGCUGUAGAAUGUGGCUCCUCGGAGUGUUAUAGCUACAGUUCAUGUCCCAUCCGAGCGCGAGGUCUCAGUCCACUAA